CCCAGACUCCUACGGGAGGCAGCAGUGGGGAAUAUUGCACAAUGGGGGGAACCCUGAUGCAGCGACGCCGCGUGGGCGAGGAAGUAUUUCGGUAUGUAAAGCCCUAUCGGCAGGGAAGAAGAAAUGACGGUACCUGAGUAAGAAGCAUCGGCUAACUCCGUGCCAGCAGCCGCGGGAAUACGGAGGAUGCGAGCGUUAUCCGGAUUUAUUGGGUUUAAAGGGUGCGUAGGCGGAUUAGUAAGUCAGCGGUAAAAAUGCGGUGCUCAACGCCGUAUCGCCGUUGAAACUGCGGGUCUCGAGUGAGCGAGAAGUAUGCGGAAUGCGUGGUGUAGCGGUGAAAUGCAUAGAUAUCACGCAGAACUCCGAUUGCGAAGGCAGCAUACCGGCGCUCAACUGACGCUGAGGCACGAAAGCGUGGGGAUCGAACAGGAUUAGAUACCCCCGUAA
rnacentral:rRNA from 1 species